AACGCGAAGAACCUUACCAAGGCUUGACAUACACCAGAACACCCCAGAAAUGGGGGACUCUUUGGACACUGGUGAACAGGUGGUGCAUGGUUGUCGUCAGCUCGUGUCGUGAGAUGUUGGGUUAAGUCCCGCAACGAGCGCAACCCUCGUUCUAUGUUGCCAGCACGUUAUGGUGGGAACUCAUGGGAUACUGCCGGGGUCGACUCGGAGGAAGGUGGGGAUGACGUCAAAUCAUCAUGCCCCUUAUGUCUUGGGCUUCACGCAUGCUACAAUGGCCGGUACAAAGGGCUGCAAUACCGUGAGGUGGAGCGAAUCCCAAAAAGCCGGUCCCAGUUCGGAUUGAGGUCUGCAACUCGACCUCAUGAAGUCGGAGUCGCUAGUAAUCGCAGAUCAGCAACGCUGCGGUGAAUACGUUCCCGGGUCUUGUACACACCG
rnacentral:rRNA from 1 species